UCGAGAUGCCCGCUGCUGCCCUCUGGGAUUAACAGUAUGCGGGUACUCCCACCCUUGUCAAAAGUGUCCAUUGCUUCGGCGGGCCGACACAUUGUGCCGUCGGUUAAUCUGGCGUGUGCCUGCCGAAAACCCAUACUCUGUGUCUUGUAGUCUGAUUCAAAAGUUAAUUAUCA
rnacentral:misc_RNA from 1 species